GUUUGAAUUUCCGUUUUGUUC
rnacentral:piRNA from 1 species